AACGCACAUUGCGCCCCUUGGUAUUCCAUGGGGCAUGCCUGUUCGAGCGUCAUCUACACCCUCAAGCUCUGCUUGGUGUUGGGCGUCUGUCCCGCCUUCGUGCGCGGACUCGCCCCAAAUUCAUUGGCAGCGGUCUUUGCCUCCUCUCGCGCAGCACAAUUGCGUUGUAAGGGGGCGUGGCCUGCAUCCACGAAGCAACAUUACCGUCUUUGACCUCGGAUCAGGUAGGGAUACCCGCUGAACUUAA
rnacentral:misc_RNA from 1 species